rnacentral:tRNA from 2 species
GUCCUCGUAGACCAACCUUGGCAGGAGUCACCAGCCUCAGAACCUGGGCAGUGUGAGUUCGAAUCUCACCGAGGACA